CCUACGGGAGGCAGCAGUGGGGAAUAUUGCGCAAUGGGCGAAAGCCUGACGCAGCGACGCCGCGUGAGGGAUGAAGGUCUUCGGAUCGUAAACCUCUGUCAGCAGGGAAGAACGGUCACUGUGCUAAUCAGCAGUGAAUUGACGGUACCUGCAAAGGAAGCACCGGCUAACUCCGUGCCAGCAGCCGCGGUAAUACGGAGGGUGCGAGCGUUAAUCGGAAUUACUGGGCGUAAAGCGCUCGUAGGCGGUAUGUCAAGUCAAGGGUGAAAUCCCCGCGCUCAACGUGGGAACUGCAUUUGAUACUGGCAAACUGGAGUGUGGUAGAGGAGAGUGGAAUUCCAGGUGUAGGGGUGAAAUGCGUAGAGAUCUGGAGGAAGACCAGUGGCGAAGGCGACUAUCUGGCACAAAACUGACGCUGAGGAGCGAAAGCGUGGGUAGCAAACAGGAUUAGAUACCCCUGUAGUC
rnacentral:rRNA from 1 species